GUUUGUUUUGAUGACUAUAGAUUUUGGUUGGUAGAACACUUGUUUGCUAAUUUAUAUGGUGGAUCUUGAGGAUAUUUUGUGUAGUUUUACUGCAGCUUGCGUAUGUGUUUUUUUUAGUGGAAUUUCUGAUAUGUGUUUUGAGUAAAAUUUGACUUUUCAUGUGGCUUCAAAAUUAUUUUUUAUUGAUUUAAUAAUCUUAAAGCUAGAAGAAUGAUUCUUU
rnacentral:misc_RNA from 1 species